rnacentral:rRNA from 1 species
AUUGAACGCUGGCGGCAGGCCUAACACAUGCAAGUCGAACGAGUGGCGGACGGGUGCGUAAUGUCUGGGAAACUGCCUGAUGGCGGGGGAUAACUACUGGAAACGGUAGCUAAUACCGCAUACCAUCGGAUUUGCCCAGAUGGGAUUCGCUUGUUGGUGGGGUAACGGCUCACCAAGGCGACGAUCCCUAGCUGGUCUGAGAGGAUGACCAGCCACACUGGAACUUAGACACGGUCCAGACGCCUAAGGGAGGCAGCAGUGGGGAAUAUUGCACAAUGGGCGCAAGCCUGAUGCAGCCAUGCCGCGUGUAUGAAGAAGGCCUUCGGGUUGUAAAGUACUUUCAGCGGGGAGGCGUUACCCGCAGAAGAAGCACCGGCUAACUCCGUGCCAGCAGCCGCGGUAAUUC